UACGAAGGGGGCUAGCGUUGCUCGGAAUCACUGGGCGUAAAGGGUGCGUAGGCGGGUCUUUAAGUCAGGGGUGAAAUCCUGGAGCUCAACUCCAGAACUGCCUUUGAUACUGAAGAUCUUGAGUUCGGGAGAGGUGAGUGGAACUGCGAGUGUAGAGGUGAAAUGCGUAGAUAUCGGGAGGAACACCUGAGGCGAAGGCGGGCUACUGGGCCGAUACUGACGCUGAUGCGCGAAAGCCAGGGGAGCGAACGGG
rnacentral:rRNA from 1 species